UACAAAGCAGAGUUGUAAUAGUUCUCAAGUGAUUCUGUCUAUAAUCCUUGACAGAGAUGCUUGAAAAUGACUGGCUGGGAACCUCAACAAAGUCAUAAUUGAUCUCAAUACAUAAGUGGGUUUUGCCCAGAAGAGCAAGUGCCCCAGAGAAGCAGUAGAAGAUGACUUGAGGAUUCGAACAGCCCACUCUCCUGGACUCAGAGAGAAAUCUUUUUCACACCUCUCCCCAAGACACUGGUGCCGGAAGCAUGCUGGACCAUAUGCAUUCACAAAGGUGAACAGAUAUGAAAAAGAUUUAAAAGGCAGCAUCACUCUCUUGUCUUCUGUGAUUCUACAAUUUCAUUGUUUAUCUCCUCCCUUCCUCGUGGCUUUUCUACUGUAUUUUCCUGGGCUGCACCUCAUCCUAUCAUGAAGUCAAGAUAGAAAUGUCCUAGAGAUCAGCCUUAUAUCCUUUUCUUGCCUUCUACAUCUUUCUUCCAGGGAGGGUGGCAAGGGUAUCUCAUCAUAGAAUGUAAGCUGUAUAAGGGCAAUAAUUUUUAGCUGAAUUUUUUGCAGUGUUGUA
rnacentral:lncRNA from 13 species